GGGACCUUGGCGCAGUUGGAAGCGCGUUGGUCUCAUAUCAUUAGAUAUGAUCUGCUUGUUCAACAUCAGAGUCAUCCAGAGGUCGUGAGUUCGAACCUCACAGGUCCCA